AUUCUUUCAAAUGUAUUACCUCACUUGAUGCUGACAAGAUAACCACCGAAGGAGGGCUCUCUUAGUGUCCCUAGUUGAACUGAUGAAGAGGACGGGAAACUGAAGUGACCAGUUCAAGGUCUACUUAUAGGAGGAUUUUCUUCUGCCUCUGCCACCUCUGAGACAGCAAGACCAAGCCCCUGCUUCCUCCUCCUCCUCAGCCUAUUCAAUGUGAAAAUCACAAGGAUGAAGACCUUUAUGAUGAUACAUUUUCACUUAAUGAAUAAAAUGGCUGAUCUCUCCAGGUUCAGUCGAUGGAAGAUCUCAGAGACACAUUUCAUAGACUGGGCCUGGGAACCAGGACUGCCGGACUGCGGGGCCAGUGUUUUCUUCUACCACCCUGUGCUUCCACCCCUCCUUCUGACUCAUUCUCCUUUUCCCCAUAUCUAAUCUCUUUCAUCCCUCAGUUUCUAAGACAGGUCUGUAAAUCCAGUCAGAGCUCAAUAAAUGUUUGUUGAAUGACU
rnacentral:lncRNA from 1 species